rnacentral:rRNA from 1 species
GACGAACGCUGGCGGUGUGCUUCACACAUGCAAGUCGAACGAGGUAGCAAUACCUAGUGGCGGACGGGUGAGUAACGCGUGGGAAUCUGCCCAAGGGUGGGAAUAACUAGCCGAAAGGUUAGCUAAUACCGCAUACGUUUCCGGAACUUCGGUUUCGGAAAGAAAGCAAUACCGUGGGUAUUGCGCUCCUGGAUGGGCGCAUGUCCUAUCAGCUUGUUGGUGAGGUAACGGCUCACCAAGGCUUCGACGGGUAGCUGGUCUGAGAGGACGAUCAGCCACACUGGCACUGCGACACGGGCCAGACUCCUACGGGAGGCAGCAGUAAGGAAUAUUGCGCAAUGGACGAAAGUCUGACGCAGCGACGCCGCGUGGGGGAUGAAGGUCUUCGGAUUGUAAACCCCUUUCGGGAGGGAAGAUGGAGUGGGUAACCACUUGGACGGUACCUCCAGAAGCAGCCACGGCUAACUUCGUGCCAGCAGCCGCGGUAAU